rnacentral:tRNA from 1 species
AGUGUAGCGUUAGCACUGAGGACUUUGAAUCCUGCGACCCGAGUUCAAAUCUCGG